AACGAACGCUGGCGGCAUGCCUAACACAUGCAAGUCGAACGAGACCUUCGGGUCUAGUGGCGCACGGGUGCGUAACGCGUGGGAACCUGCCCUUAGGUUCGGCAUAACUCCCCGAAAGGGGUGCUAAUACCGGAUAAUGUCUUCGGCCCAAAGAUUUAUCGCCUUUGGAUGGGCACGCGUUGGAUUAGCUAGUUGGUAGGGUAAAAGCCUACCAAGGCGACGAUCCAUAGCUGGUCUGAGAGGAUGAUCAGCCACACUGGGACUGAGACACGGCCCAGACUCCUACGGGAUGCAGCAGUGGGGAAUAUUGGACAACGGGCGAAAGCCUGAUCCAGCAAUGCCGCGUGAGUGAUGAAGGCCUUAGGGUUGUAAAGCGCUUGUACCCGUGAUGAUAAUGACAGUACCUGGAGAAUAAGCUCCGGCUAACUCCGUG
rnacentral:rRNA from 1 species